rnacentral:misc_RNA from 1 species
GGUAAAGUUUCAGGUUUUCAGUAUAAGGAUUAAAAUUUGAAUUUCAAUUGGUUCAGGAUUGGGGUAAGGGAGUUAAUUUAAGAAGGGAAAGCUACCCCAGUUGUGUAGCUCACUAGUGUACCAGAAAAACUUUUUUGCUCUUUUCAUACUUAACAAAGAACAAAGCAAUGUCGCAACUAUGAUUAGCUUUGGUUUAGUUGAUUUUCUGUAAUUAUUGUGAUUGAGAUUGAUUGUAAAAGGGACAAGUUUCUGAAAAAUAGUUGAUGCAUCUGUAAUUAUUUUGGUGAAAACAGAAAAUCAAAAGAGGAGAAGAAAAGGUUGGCUUCACAUCUGUAGAUUUAGGCACCAUUGUUGUGUUACCU